rnacentral:rRNA from 1 species
AUACGUAGGUGACAAGCGUUAUCCGGAUUUACUGGGCGUAAAGGGCGUGUAGGCGGUCUUGCAAGUCAGAAGUGAAAUUCCUGAGCUCAACUCGGGCGCUGCUUCUGAAACUGCAGGACUUGAGUGCUGGAGGGGAUAGCGGAAUUCCUAGUGGAGCGGUAAAAUGCGCAGAUAUUAGAAGGAACACCAGUGGCGAAGGCGGCUUGCUGGGCUGUUACUGACUCUGAGACACGAGAGCGUGGGGAGCAAAUAGGAUUAGAUACCCUAGUAGUCCACGCCGUAAACGAUGAGUACUAAGUGUCGGGUAACCGGUGCUGAAGUUAACACAUUAAGUACUCCGCCUGAGUAGUACGGUCGCAAGGCUGAAACUCAAAUGAAUUGGCGGGG